AGAUAAUAGAUACCCAGGUAGUCCUGGCCCUAAACGAUGUCUACUAGAUCGUGGCGGCACUGACGCCGUCAUGGUCGAAGCAAAACGUGUUAAGUAGACCGCCUGGGAAGUACGGUCGCAAGGCUAAAACCUCAAAGAAAUUGACGGGGGUCUCACACAAGCGGUGGAGCAUGUGGUUCAAUUCGAAGCAACGCGAAGAACCUUACCUGGGCUUGACAUGCUAGGAUUAUCUUGAUGAAAGUCGAGUAGGCCCCGGCAAGGGGUUACAACUAGUACAGGUGCUGCAUGGCUGUCGUCAGCUCGUGUCGUGAGAUGUCGGGUUAAGUCCCUUAACGAGCGAAACCCUUUGCCCUUAGUUGCCAUCGGG
rnacentral:rRNA from 1 species